UACGAAGGGUGCAAACGUUGCUCGGAAUUAUUGGGCGUAAAGAGCGCGCAGGCGGUAUGACAAGUCAGAUGUGAAAGAGGCCGGCUUAACCGGCAAGGGUCAUUUGAAACUGUCAGACUAGAGUGCAGCAGAGGAUAGUGGAAUUCCCGGUGUAGUGGUGAAAUGCGUAGAUAUCGGGAGGAACACCAGUGGCGAAGGCGACUAUCUGGGCUGCAACUGACGCUGAGGCGCGAAGGCUAGGGUAGCAAACAGG
rnacentral:rRNA from 1 species